GACGAACGCUGGCGGCGUGCUUAACACAUGCAAGUCGAACGGAAAGGCCCUGCUUUUGUGGGGUGCUCGAGUGGCGAAUGGGUGAGUAACACGUGAGUAACCUGCCCUUGACUUUGGGAUAACUUCAGGAAACUGGGGCUAAUACCGGAUAGGAGCUCCUGCUGCAUGGUGGGGGUUGGAAAGUUUCGGCGGUUGGGGAUGGACUCGCGGCUUAUCAGCUUGUUGGUGGGGUAGUGGCUUACCAAGGCUUUGACGGGUAGCCGGCCUGAGAGGGUGACCGGCCACAUUGGGACUGAGAUACGGCCCAGACUCCUACGGGAGGCAGCAGUGGGGAAUAUUGCACAAUGGGCGGAAGCCUGAUGCAGCAACGCCGCAUGCGGGAUGACGGCCUUCGGGUUGUAAACCGCUUUCGCCUGUGACGAAGCGUGAGUGACGGUAAUGGGUAAAGAAGCACCGGCUAACUACGUG
rnacentral:rRNA from 1 species